AUUGAACGCUGGCGGAAUGCUUUACACAUGCAAGUCGAACGGCAGCACGGGGGCAGCCCUGGUGGCGAGUGGCGAACGGGUGAGUAAUACAUCGGAACGUGCCCGGUCGUGGGGGAUAACGUAGCGAAAGUUACGCUAAUACCGCAUACGAUCUGAGGAUGAAAGCGGGGGACCUUCGGGCCUCGCGCGAUCGGAGCGGCCGAUGUCAGAUUAGGUAGUUGGUGGGGUAAAGGCCUACCAAGCCGACGAUCUGUAGCUGGUCUGAGAGGACGACCAGCCACACUGGGACUGAGACACGGCCCAGACUCCUACGGGAGGCAGCAGUGGGGAAUUUUGGACAAUGGGCGCAAGCCUGAUCCAGCCAUUCCGCGUGCAGGACGAAGGCCUUCGGGUUGUAAACUGCUUUUGUACGGAACGAAAAGGCUCUGGCUAACACCUGGGGCUCAUGACGGUACCGUAAGAAUAAGCACCGGCUAACUACGUG
rnacentral:rRNA from 1 species